rnacentral:lncRNA from 1 species
ACAGUUGUAGCUCACCUUGAAUUGACUGAAAUGUGCCGGAAGGGAUAUCAGAACCAAGUGCACCAACAAGUCUUCAGAUAAAUCCAACUUGAGUGCCUUUAGUUUUGAAGCAAUGUGAGACAUUUCCAUAAUGUACUCCUGAAUGUUUCCUUUCCUUUUAUACCUCAUUGAGACAAGAUUUGCCAAAAGUGUACUUGUUUCAGCCUUUUCAUUCUUGGUAAACCUCUUCUCAAGGUCCUCAAGGAAACCUUUAGCCGUAGUCACCUUAUCGGAUAUAGUGCCCCGGAAUGCUUCUGGAAUAGCACGCUUCAUGACCAUUAAGCUUAUGCGGUUCGAUCGUUCCCACUUUUCCAUCUCCCUCUUGUCAUCAGAGGUACUCUUAUCAAUAAGUGCAGUAGGUUGA